rnacentral:rRNA from 1 species
GUGGGGAAUAUUGGACAAUGGGCGAAAGCCUGAUCCAGCAAUGCCGCGUGAGUGAAGAAGGCCUUAGGGUUGUAAAGCUCUUUUACCCGGGAUGAUAAUGACAGUACCGGGAGAAUAAGCUCCGGCUAACUCCGUGCCAGCAGCCGCGGUAAUACGGAGGGAGCUAGCGUUGUUCGGAAUCACUGGGCGUAAAGCGCACGUAGGCGGCUUUGUAAGUUAGAGGUGAAAGCCCGGGGCUCAACUCCGGAACUGCCUUUAAGACUGCAUCGCUUGAAUCUGGGAGAGGUAAGUGGAAUUCCGAGUGUAGAGGUGAAAUUCGUAGAUAUUCGGAAGAACACCAGUGGCGAAGGCGGCUUACUGGACCAGAAUUGACGCUGAGGUGCGAAAGCGUGGGGAGCAAACAGGAUUAGAAACCCGAGUAGUCC